rnacentral:rRNA from 1 species
UACGUAGGCAGCAAGCGUUGUUCGGAGUUACUGGGCGUAAAGAGUGCGUAGGCGGUUUCGUAAGUUUGGUGUGAAAUCUCCCGGCUCAACCGGGAGGGUGCGCCGAAAACUGGGGGACUAGAGUGCGGGAUGGGAGGGUAGAAUUCCUGGUGUAGCGGUGAAAUGCGUAGAUAUCAGGAGGAAUACCGGUGGUGCAGACGGCUCUCUGGACCGCAACUGACGCUG